rnacentral:rRNA from 1 species
AUUGAACGCUGGCGGCAUGCCUUACACAUGCAAGUCGAACGGCAGCACGGGAGCAAUCCUGGUGGCGAGUGGCGAACGGGUGAGUAAAGUAUCGGAACGUGCCCAGUCGUGGGGGAUAACGUAGCGAAAGUUACGCUAAUACCGCAUAAGAUCUAUGAAUGAAAGCGGGGGAUCGCAAGACCUCGCGCGAUUGGAGCGGCCGAUAUCAGAUUAGGUAGUUGGUGGGGUAAAGGCUCACCAAGCCGACGAUCUGUAGCUGGUCUGAGAGGACGACCAGCCACACUGGGACUGAGACACGGCCCAGACUCCUACGGGAGGCAGCAGUGGGGAAUUUUGGACAAUGGGCGAAAGCCUGAUCCAGCCAUGCCGCGUGCAGGAUGAAGGCCUUCGGGUUGUAAACUGCUUUUGUACGGAACGAAAAGGUUUGGCCUAAUAAGCUGAGCUCAUGACGGUACCGUAAGAAUAAGCACCGGCUAACUACGUGCCAGCCGCCGCGGUAA